UACAGAGGUCCCAAGCGUUGUUCGGAUUCACUGGGUGUAAAGGGUGCGUAGGCGGUUUGAUAAGUCUGAUGUGAAAUCCCGCAGCUUAACUGCGGAACUGCAUUGGAAACUAUUUAACUAGAGGAAUGGAGGGGAGACUGGAAUACUUGGUGUAGCAGUGAAAUGCGUAGAUAUCAAGUGGAACACCAGUGGCGAAGGCGAGUCUCGGGACACUUCCUGACGCUGAGGCACGAAAGCCAGGGGAGCAAACGGG
rnacentral:rRNA from 1 species